UGUAGACUGACAGAAGCUGGCUAAGGAUCAGUAAGCCACUAAGGACUGUUGGGGGAAGAAGUGAAGGGCCUAAGAAGCUGCUGAGUCAUCCCAUUGAAACUUCCCAGCCAAAUACAGCAGAACAGCAUCAAGACAUUGCAUCUCAGUUAUUCUGUGUUUCUCUGCAGCUCCAUUUUGUCAUAGCUUUUUAAGGACCUAAAGCCCUGGUUGUUUGACUGCCAAGAGUUCAGUCCCUUUCUUCCACCUCCCUUGUCUGCCCCAUCAAUAAUUAUCAAGAGGCAGUACUGAAAGUGGAGGGCACAGAGACAAGUUCAGGUCACAAAAGGUGAAGUGAGGAACCAACUAGUACCCUCAGGGAAGCCAUGGAAUUGAGGAUUACAUUUCCACACUUCAGAACUUCAUCUGACAUGGAAGUGGAGCUUCUGAAAGAGUGAGCUGGACAGGCUGCCUCCCUCAGUUCUCUGAAGAUGAAGAAGAGCAGUUGUGGGCUGGAUCCACAAAGAGGCCUAACUUUUUGGUACCUAGAAAAUCACAGGAAAAAGACUGUGAAUCUGCAAUCCAUGAAGCCUGCAGUAGGCACCCAGGCUCCGUAUACAAUGAACGGGGAGAGAGAGGCACGUCAGAAUGUGAUGAGAGGAGGGUAAGUGCCAUCCUUCUCACAGAGAUAAGCACUUAAGUCCAGGCUGCAGAGCAGUGCCUGCCUCUAACUAGCGAUCCAUGAACUGUGGGAAGAUAGGCGUUCCUCUGCCUAACUCUUAUGCAGGGCCUGAUCUGGUAGAUCUGCUGAGGCUAUGCAUGUCUACACAAAGCAGCCAGGGGAGGGGGAAGACCUCCAUUAUAAUCUUUA